AUCCAUGCUAAUCUCGUUUAUAUGGACCACAAGCACCUGAACUAGGAAACCAAAGGAGCCAGUAGCCUUUGGCGCUGGAGAUGUACAACUUCUCAGAUAUCAGGGUAGGAGAAGGAAGACAAAAGGUGAUGACACUUUGUCCCUCUUUCUCUCUGUAGGUCUAAGGAUGAGGUUGCUCAGCCUGAGAUGCCCAUUUAAUUUUAUUUACUGAGGGCAUCUAUCGAAAAGACUUAUUAAUCAUCUUGAUCACAAAGGGCUACUGAAGGAUAGCUGGAGAAGAGCUAGUAUUGCCACCAAGAGAUGCCUCUGUCCCUUGUGUUAUAGCAACAGACAAGGACUGACAGGUAACGGGGUCAUCCAGAUCACCUUGAGUCUUGGAAAGGAGGGUCCUUAUCAGCCAGCAGCUACACUAGUUAGAAGUGCAGUGUCUGGAAUCCCACAGUGCUGCACUUAGUUUGCAGUACUGGACCAAAUAAAAAGUCAACAGGCCACCUGAGAAUCUGUAAUCACAGUAGGUAAGUUAAAAAUCAUACUGUCUCAGGAAACCCUUGGAUUAAGACACUACUUUCA
rnacentral:lncRNA from 1 species